ACACGACUACAUUAGAUACCCCUGUAGUCCUAGCCGUAAACGAUACUCGCUAGGUGUCGGCCACGGUGCGACCGUUGUCGGUGCCGUAGGGAAGCCGUGAAGCGAGCCACCUGGGAAGUACGGCCGCAAGGCUGAAACUUAAAGGAAUUGGCGGGGGAGCACAACAACGGGUGGAGCCUGCGGUUUAAUUGGACUCAACGCCGGGAAGCUCACCGGAUAAGACAGCGGAAUGAUUGCCGGGCUGAAGACCCUGCAUGACCAGCUG
rnacentral:rRNA from 1 species